GGACUGUAGCAAUACAGUUGCUGGCGACCGGCAAACGGGUGCGGAACACGUACGCAACCUACCCAAAACUGGGGAAUAGCCCGGGGAAACCCGGAUUAAUACCUCGUAACAUAAUGAAGUGGCAUCACUUUAUUAUUAUAGCUCCGGCGGUUUUGGAUGGGCGUGCGCCUGAUUAGGUAGUUGGCGGGGUAACGGCCCACCAAGCCUACGAUCAGUAACUGGUGUGAGAGCACGACCAGUCACACGGGCACUGAGACACGGGCCCGACUCCUACGGGAGGCAGCAGUAAGGAAUAUUGGUCAAUGGACGCAAGUCUGAACCAGCCAUGCCGCGUGAAGGAUGAAGGUCCUCUGGAUUGUAAACUUCUUUUAUAUGGGACGAAACCCUCGGAUUCCUCCGGGAUUGACGGUACCAUAGGAAUAAGCACCGGCUAACUCCGUGCCAGCAGCCGCGGUAAUACGGAGGGUGCAAGCGUUAUCCGGAUUCACUGGGUUUAAAGGGUGCGUAGGAGGGCAGGUAAGUCAGUGGUGAAAUCCCCAAGCUUAACUUGGGAACUGCCGUUGAUACUAUCUGUCUUGAAUACCGUGGAGGUGAGCGGAAUAUGUCAUGUAGCGGUGAAAUGCUUAGAUAUGACAUAGAACACCAAUUGCGAAGGCAGCUCGCUACACGAAUAUUGACUCUGAGGCACGAAAGCGUGGGGAUCAAACAGGAUUAGAUACCCUGGUAGUCCACGCCCUAAACGAUGGAUACUCGACAUACGCGAUACACAGUGUGUGUCUGAGCGAAAGCAUUAAGUAUCCCACCUGGGAAGUACGACCGC
rnacentral:rRNA from 1 species